rnacentral:rRNA from 1 species
GGCGUGCCUAAUACAUGCAAGUCGAACGCUUCUUUUUCCACCGGAGCUUGCUCCACCGGAAAAAGAGGAGUGGCGAACGGGUGAGUAACACGUGGGUAACCUGCCCAUCAGAAGGGGAUAACACUUGGAAACAGGUGCUAAUACCGUAUAACAAUCAAAACCGCAUGGUUUUGAUUUGAAAGGCGCUUUCGGGUGUCGCUGAUGAAUGGACCCGCGGUGCAUUAGCUAGUUGGUGAGGUAACGGCUCACCAAGGCCACGAUGCAUAGCCGACCUGAGAGGGUGAUCGGCCACAUUGGGACUGAGACACGGCCCAAACUCCUACGGGAGGCAGCAGUAGGGAAUCUUCGGCAAUGGACGAAAGUCUGACCGAGCAACGCCGCGUGAGUGAAGAAGGUUUUCGGAUCGUAAAACUCUGUUGUUAGAGAAGAACAAGGAUGAGAGUAACUGUUCAUCCCUUGACGGUAUCUAACCAGAAAGCCACGGCUAACUACGUGCCAGCAGCCGCGGUAAUACGUAGGUGGCAAGCGUUGUCCGGAUUUAUUGGGCGUAAAGCGAGCGCAGGCGGUUUCUUAAGUCUGAUGUGAAAGCCCCCGGCUCAACCGGGGAGGGUCAUUGGAAACUGGGAGACUUGAGUGCAGAAGAGGAGAGUGGAAUUCCAUGUGUAGCGGUGAAAUGCGUAGAUAUAUGGAGGAACACCAGUGGCGAAGGCGGCUCUCUGGU